rnacentral:rRNA from 1 species
GACGAACGCUGGCGGCGUGCUUAACACAUGCAAGUCGAACGGAAAGGCCCUGCUUUUGUGGGGUUCUCGAGUGGCGAACGGGUGAGUAACACGUGAGUAACCUGCCCUUGACUUUGGGAUAACUUCAGGAAACUGGGGCUAAUACCGGAUAGGAGCUCCUGCUGCAUGUUGGGGGUUGGAAAGUUUCGGCGGUUGGGGCUGGACUCGCGGCUUAUCGGCUUGUUGGUGGGGUAGUGGCUUACCCAGGCUUUGACGGGUAGCCGGCCUGAGAGGGUGACCGGCGACAUUGGGACUGAGGGACGGCCCAGACUGCUACGGGAGGCAGAAGUGGGGAAUACUGCACGAUGGGCGGAAGCCUGAUGAAGCAGCGCCGCGUGCGGGAAAACGGCCUUAUGGGUGUAAACCGCUUUCGCAUGUGACGGAGCGUGUGUGACGGUAAUGGGUAAAGAAGCACCGGCUAACUACGGG